GUCGAACGGCAGCACGGGGGCAACCCUGGUGGCGAGUGGCGAACGGGUGAGUAAUAUAUCGGAACAUAUCCGGAAGUGGGGGAUAACGUAGCGAAAGUUACGCUAAUACCGCAUAUGCCCUGAGGGGGAAAGGAGGGGAUCCGCAAGGACCUUUCGCUUUCGGAGUGGCCGAUAUCAGAUUAGCUAGUUGGUGAGGUAAAGGCUCACCAAGGCGACGAUCUGUAGCGGGUCUGAGAGGAUGAUCCGCCACACUGGGACUGAGACACGGCCCAGACUCCUACGGGAGGCAGCAGUGGGGAAUUUUGGACAAUGGGGGCAACCCUGAUCCAGCCAUGCCGCGUGAGUGAAGAAGGCCUUCGGGUUGUAAAGCUCUUUCAGCCGGAAAGAAAUCGUGCAGAUUAAUACUCUGCAUGGAUGACGGUACCGGAAGAAGAAGCACCGGCUAACUACGUGCCAGCAGCCGCGGUAAUACGUAGGGUGCGAGCGUUAAUCGGAAUUACUGGGCGUAAAGCGUGCGCAGGCGGUUUUGUAAGACAGGUGUGAAAUCCCCGGGCUUAACCUGGGAACUGCAUUUGUGACUGCAAGGCUAGAGUAUGGCAGAGGGGGGUAGAAUUCCACGUGUAGCAGUGAAAUGCGUAGAUAUGUGGAGGAAUACCGAUGGCGAAGGCAGCCCCCUGGGUCAAUACUGACGCUCAUGCACGA
rnacentral:rRNA from 1 species